AUUGAACGCUGGCGGAAUGCUUUACACAUGCAAGUCGAACGGCAGCACGGACUUCGGUCUGGUGGCGAGUGGCGAACGGGUGAGUAAUAUAUCGGAACGUAUCCAAUAAUGGGGGAUAACUAAUCGAAAGGUUGGCUAAUACCGCAUACGCCCUACGGGGGAAAGCUAGGGACCUUCGGGCCUGGCGUUAAUGGAGCGGCUGAUAUCUGAUUAGCUAGUAGGUGAGGUAAAGGCUCACCUAGGCGACGAUCAGUAGCUGGUCUGAGAGGACGACCAGCCACACUGGAACUGAGACACGGUCCAGACUCCUACGGGAGGCAGCAGUGGGGAAUUUUGGACAAUGGGCGAAAGCCUGAUCCAGCCAUUCCGCGUGAGUGAAGAAGGCCUUCGGGUUGUAAAGCUCUUUCGCAAGGGAAGAAAACUUAGGCGCUAAUAUCGCUUGAGGUUGACGGUACCUUGAUAAGAAGCACCGGCUAACUACGUGCCAGCAGCCGCGGUAAUACGUAGGGUGCGAGCGUUAAUCGGAAUUACUGGGCGUAAAGCGUGCGCAGGCGGUUUUGUAAGUCAGAUGUGAAAUCCCCGAGCUCAACUUGGGAACUGCGUUUGAAACUAUAAGACUAGAAUAUGUCAGAGGGGGGUAGAAUUCCACGUGUAGCAGUGAAAUGCGUAGAGAUGUGGAGGAAUACCAAUGGCGAAGGCAGCCCCCUGGGGAUAAUAUUGACGCUCAUGCACGAAAGCGUGGGGAGCAAACAGGAUUAGAUACCCUGGUAGUCCACGCCCUAAACGAUGUCUACUAGUUGUUGGUGGAGUAAAAUCCAUGAGUAACGCAGCUAACGCGUGAAGUAGACCGCCUGGGGAGUACGGUCGCAAGAUUAAACUCAAUGAAUUGACGGGGCCC
rnacentral:rRNA from 1 species